AACGAACGCUGGCGGCAGGCUUAACACAUGCAAGUCGAACGCUCCGCAAGGGGAGUGGCAGACGGGUGAGUAACGCGUGGGAAUCUACCCAGAUCUUCGGAACAACACAGGGAAACUUGUGCUAAGACCGGAUACGCCCUACGGGGGAAAGAUUUAUCGGAUUUGGAUGAGCCCGCGUUGGAUUAGCUAGUUGGUGAGGUAAUGGCUCACCAAGGCGACGAUCCAUAGCUGGUCUGAGAGGAUGAUCAGCCACACUGGGACUGAGACACGGCCCAGACUCCUACGGGAGGCAGCAGUGGGGAUUAUUGGACCAUGGGCGCAAGCCUGAUCCAGCCAUGCCGCGUGAGUGAUGAAGGCCUUAGGGUUGUAAAGCUCUUUUAGUGGGGAAGAUAAUGACGGUACCCACAGAAAAAGCCCCGGUUAACUUCGUGCCAGCAGCCGCGGUAACAC
rnacentral:rRNA from 1 species